AACGAACGCUGGCGGCAUGCCUAACACAUGCAAGUCGAACGAGACCUUCGGGUCUAGUGGCGCACGGGUGCUUAACGCGUGGGAACCUGCCCUUAGGUUCGGAAUAACUCCCCGAAAGGGGUGCUAAUACCGGAUAAUGUCUUCGGACCAAAGAUUUAUCGCCUUUGGAUGGGCCCGCGUUGGAUUAGCUAGUUGGUAGGGUAAAAGCCUACCAAGGCGACGAUCCAUAGCUGGUCUGAGAGGAUGAUCAGCCACACUGGAAAUGAGACACGGCCCAGACUCAUACGGGAGGCAGCAGUGGGGAAUAUUGGAAAAUGGGCGAAAGCCUGAUCCAGCAAUGCCGGGUGAGUGAUGAAGGACUUAGGAUUGUAAAGCUCUUUUACCCGGGAUGAGAAUGACAGUACCGGGAGAAUAAGCUCCGGCUAACUCCGUG
rnacentral:rRNA from 1 species